CCUCCUCUUCUUGGUAGGGGUCCGGCUUGCGGAGGCAGAGAAAAGUAAUGUAGGGAGGCAGAGGGAAGGGGCUCCGGCCCCCUCGGGCGUCAUGUCUUCAGUGCCGAUGGUUUCCAAUCCGCCAGUUCUAUCCUCAAGCGCCGGGACACUG